UACGGAGGAUGCGAGCGUUAUCCGGAUUUAUUGGGUUUAAAGGGUGCGCAGGCGGCACGGCAAGCCGGCGGUCAAAUCGCGGGGCUCAACCCCGCCCAGCCGUCGGAACUGCCGGGCUAGAGUGGGCGAGAAGUGCGCGGAAUGCGUGGUGUAGCGGUGAAAUGCAUAGAUAUCACGCAGAACUCCGAUUGCAAGGCAGCGCACCGGCGCCCUACUGACGCUCAGGCACGAAAGCGUGGGUAUCGAACAGG
rnacentral:rRNA from 1 species